rnacentral:rRNA from 1 species
AUUGAACGCUGGCGGCAGGCCUAAUACAUGCAAGUCGAACGAGUGGCGGACGGGUGAGUAAUGUCUGGGAAACUGCCUGAUGGAGGGGGCUAACUACUGGAAACGGUAGAUAAUACUGCAUAACACCCUUUGUGCCCAGGUGGGAGUAGCUAGUUGGUGGGGUAACGGCUCUCCAAGGCGACGCUCCCUAGCUGGUCUGAGAGGAUGACCAGCCACACUGGGACUGAGACACGUCCCAGACUCCUACGGGAGGCAGCAGUGGGGAAUAUUGCACAAUGGGCGCAAGCCUGAUGCAGCCAUGCCGCGUGUAUGAAGAAGGCCUUCGGGUUGUAAAGUACUUUCAGCGGGGAGGCGUUACCCGAAGAAGAAGCACCGGCUAACUCCGUGCCAGCAGCCGCGGUAAUAC